GGGGUCAGCCCCGUCGGCGCAGCAGGUCUCGGCCAGGGAGACGAUCUCCCGCACGAGGCUGCCGAUCUCCUCGAAGGUGCCGUUGGAAUAUUUGCGGCUGUUGGCAACCAUGGUCCUGGCAGCAGGGACAGGGAGAGCCAGGUGUCCAGCAGCAGGAGGUACCUACAUGGUUCUGAAGUUCUCCUUUCCCAGGAUCUUGUACUCCUGGCAGACUUUCUCCCGGACAUAAGCUUUCCCUGAAAGUGCAGGAGAAGGAGGAAUUGAGGAUUUGGUGGUCCCUGGGGAGAUAUUGGCACAGCCGGCCUGGGAGAAGCAUCCCUGGUGUCCAGGCUGCUGCUCCAGCCCCACAGCCAGGGAAAGGAGCAGGGACAAAACCCUUCCUGGAGCUGGGAGAGCUACAGGAACGCCGGCUCCCGGUCCCAACCCGUGGCAUUGCUGUUCACUUGUACAAAGCCGUGUGGGAGAGGUGAGUUCUGGUGUUUUUUGGCAGGUGGGGAUUCCCUGUGGAGCUGAGGAGGCAGCCGAGGGCGGCAGAGCACGGUUUCCACCAAGGGGGAUGGGUGAAACCUCGGGAUCUGUGAAGGAUGCCGGGAGCAACACGAGCAACAGGAGGAGAAGAAGCUCUCGGUGAGUGGCAAGCCCUGUGUGCUGGGGACAGUGUCUGAUCCUGCUUUUUUUUGGGAUG